CAAGUUGGAAGUGAAAUCCAUGGGCUCAACCCAUGAACUGCUUUCAAAACUGUUUUUCUUGAGUAGUGCAGAGGUAGGCGGAAUUCCCGGUGUAGCGGUGGAAUGCGUAGAUAUCGGGAGGAACACCAGUGGCGAAGGCGGCCUACUGGGCACCAACUGACGCUGAGGCUCGAAAGUGUGGGUAGCAAACAGGAUUAGAUACCCUGGUAGUCCACACUGUAAACGAUGAUUACUAGGUGUUGGAGGAUUGACCCCUUCAGUGCCGCAGUUAACACAAUAAGUAAUCCACCUGGGGAGUACGACCGCAAGGUUGAAACUCAAAGGAAUUGACGGGGGCCCGCACAAGCAGUGGAGUAUGUGGUUUAAUUCGACGCAACGCGAAGAACCUUACCAAGUCUUGACAUCCUGCGACGCACAUAGAAAUAUGUGUUUCCUUCGGGACGCAGAGACAGGUGGUGCAUGGUUGUCGUCAGCUCGUGUCGUGAGAUGUUGGGUUAAGUCCCGCAACGAGCGCAACCCUUAUGGUCAGUUACUACGCAAGAGGACUCUGGCCAGACUGCCGUUGACAAAACGGAGGAAGGUGGGGAUGACGUCAAAUCAUCAUGCCCUUUAUGACUUGGGCUACACACGUACUACAAUGGCGUUAAACAAAGAGAAGCAAGACCGCGAGGUGGAGCAAAACUCAGAAACAACGUCCCAGUUCGGACUGCAGGCUGCAACUCGCCUGCACGAAGUCGGAAUUGCUAGUAAUCGCAGAUCAGCAUGCUGCGGUGAAUACGUUCCCGG
rnacentral:rRNA from 1 species